CUGCUGCCUCCCGUAGGAGUCUGGUCCGUGUCUCAGUACCAGUGUGGGGGGCCUUCCUCUCAGAACCCCUACGCAUCGUCGCCUCGGUGGGCCGUUACCCCGCCGACUAGCUAAUGCGCCGCACGCCCAUCCGUGGCCGGGAUUGCUCCCUUUGGCGGCCUUGGGAUGUCCCUAGGCCGCGUUACGCGGUAUUAGACGGGGUUUCCCCCGCUUAUCCCCCUGCCACGGGCAGGUUGCAUACGUGUUACUCACCCGUGCGCCGGUCGCCGGCAACGGCAGG
rnacentral:rRNA from 1 species